AUUGAACGCUGGCGGCAGGCCUAACACAUGCAAGUCGAGCGGAUGACGGGAGCUUGCUCCUUGAUUCAGCGGCGGACGGGUGAGUAAUGCCUAGGAAUCUGCCUGGUAGUGGGGGACAACGUUUCGAAAGGAACGCUAAUACCGCAUACGUCCUACGGGAGAAAGCAGGGGACCUUCGGGCCUUGCGCUAUCAGAUGAGCCUAGGUCGGACUAGCUAGUUGGUGGGGGAAUGGCUCACCAAGGCGACGAUCCGUAACUGGUCUGAGAGGAUGGUCAGGCACACUGGAACUGAGACACGGUCCAGACUCCUACGGGAGGCAGAAGUGGGGAAUAUUGGACAAUGGGCGAAAGCCUGAUCCAGCCAUGCCGCGUGUGUGAAGAAGGUCUUCGGAUUGUAAAGCACUUUAAGUUGGGAGGAAGGGCAGUAAGUUAAUACCUUGCUGUUUUGACGUUACCGACAGAAUAAGCACCGGCUAACUCUGUGCCAGCCGCCGCGGUAAGAC
rnacentral:rRNA from 1 species